rnacentral:rRNA from 1 species
ACGGAAGGCAGCAGUGGGGAAUAUUGCACAAUGGGCGAAAGCCUGAUGCAGCGACGCCGCGUGAGUGAAGAAGUAUUUCGGUAUGUAAAGCUCUAUCAGCAGGGAAGAAGAAAUGACGGUACCUGACUAAGAAGCACCGGCUAAAUACGUGCCAGCAGCCGCGGUAAUACGUAUGGUGCAAGCGUUAUCCGGAUUUACUGGGUGUAAAGGGAGCGCAGGCGGAUGAUUAAGUCUGAUGUGAAAUCCCGAGGCUCAACCUCGGUGCUGCAUUGGAAACUGGUUAUCUUGAGUGUCGGAGGGGUAGACGGAAUUCCUAGUGUAGCGGUGAAAUGCGUAGAUAUUAGGAGGAACACCGGUGGCGAAGGCGGUCUACUGGACGAUAACUGACGCUGAGGCUCGAAAGCGUGGGGAGCAAACAGGAUUAGAUACCCUGGUA